UCCUAAUCCUCUUGUUUUCGGAACUGUCAGCAGAUGUGGCUUCUCUUAGCUGAAUAAUCCGUUAAAGGAAUAAUAAUUUUUAAAAAGGACAUCGACCUCACCCAACGAAGACUGUGAACGAGAUCAGGGCUUGAUCUACUGCUUUUGGAUGGACUGGCAGAAACGCUGCGGACUGCGACCAGGCUCUUAAAAAGGAGAACAAAAAGAUGAAGACCUUGGGCGGACGCCGGGACAAAGCACCUUGCGCUUGGCGAGAAGGGACGCGCUCUGGAACACUAGUGAUCUCCUCGGCCGAAGGGCGCCUGCUGGGCGUGCGGACCUCUGAGGGAUUCAGCCACAUUAUAUACGAGUGACCUUUCAAAUCUACGCCCACCCUUUACCCGCGAGAGGACUACAGCAGGCGAGUUCCGGAAGGCUGAUUCCCCAGAUCCCGACCCCGGACCGCGGCAGCUUGCCCUUCAGGCACGCCGGGCCACACUGUGCCUGGACUCCGCGAUCAAGGAAAAAAGCCUGGAAACGAAAGGAUGCGGAGAACAAAGAGCCUUUGGAAGACGUCGCCGUUAUCUCAUUGUCUGUGUGAUUGGGGGAGCUGCGGUAGGGAGGAUGCUGUGGUCCUUUCCUCCCGGCGCUCCCCGCCCCCACCCCUCUCCCUGCUGUCAGUGCGCACUCGCGCCGCUUUUUAUUUCUCUUUCCUCGCUUUCUCAUCCCAUCUUCACCCUAGCCCCUUCCUUUCUUUCACCUUUCCUUCCUUCCUCAGGAGAAAGGCCUCUCUCUCCGUGUUCACAGCGGACCUUGAUUUAAAUGUCCAUACAAUUAAGGCACGCGGUGAAUGCCAAGAAUGGGGCUGGCUGAGCACCAUGGGUCCGCGAGGGCCGCCGAGGAAGAAGCCACUGAGCCGAGGAGUCCUCGGCAGACCUCAGCGCUGCGGCUGCGGCUGCGGCUGCGGCUGCGGCUGCGGGCGCGGCAGACAGGAGGGGUCGCUUGGUCCUGCGGCAGGCUGUCCCGCACCGGAGCCUUAGGGUGGGGAGGUGUGUGGCUUGUGACAGGGGCUUAGGGAUGCAAACAGACUGAGGGAGGGAAACCGAAGUGAUUCUGUGACCGAAACAGAUUUGUGCAAGCGCAGAUAUGGCGGGGGGUGGGGGGGCUCGCCUUAAGCGCGUGGCCGAGUCCUUCUGUGCAUAUUUUUAUCCGGGCUCGGAUGCAUUGUACGUGCGUGGAUCGACAUCUUCCCCCGUGGCUGUGGUUUUGUUCUGGGCUUAGCUUUUGGUUUGCCCUUAAAAAGAAAAAUAUCUGGCAUCCAGGAGACUGGCAGACUGCCUCAGGGCCUGGACUGCGGAUAUAUUGUUCCGCCUGAGGAUUUGGGUGGGGGGAGGAUGACCAUUUGGAAGGAGGGAGACACUGUUUGUUACCCCUUGCUGUAGAGCUAUGAGCACCAGACAAGCUUAAGGAAGUCAUUGGGCUAUGCAGACAAGAAGGAAUAAGCUCUUGGCCAGUUCCCGAGCUCCACAAGGGUUGAGAGCCGGGCCUGGGCUCCAAGGAGCACCCCAUGCCCUCCCUGCGCUGGCAUUGCAGUUUCAGGGAGGAUCCAGGGACUGCAGAGGAAAGGACAGCCACACCUACAGAAGGGAGGCAUUCCUUUUAAAACCUGAAAAGAAGAAAAAAAAAAAAAAAAAAAAAAAAAAAAACACAGCAUGUGUGCAGGUGGGGGUCUGAGGAGCGUUUUGAAGGCAGCUAUCCAGGAAUGAAAAAGGGUUACUCCUUUCACGUCCUGAAGAACCUACUGUCUGAAUCGGGCCUUGGUCCCCAUCACAGACCCUGAGCCUCAGCUGGUCCUAGAGACCCCUGUCAUAGUCCCAUCCCAUCUCCAGCUCGGCAUUAAUAGCCAAGCUGCAGUGGAUGGUGGCAGAACCUAAACUCAUUAAUUUACAGGUGGAGAAAAUGGAGGAGGGGCAGUCGAGGGAAAAGCAGGGAAAGGAACUGCAUCUUCCUACCCAGAAAGCCUGCUGCAUCCCCUCACCCCCCUCCACCCCUGCGCCAGAGGCCUGCCUUUACAAGGCCAAGCCCAUAAGGGAUGCUUAGGAGUUUAAUUUGAUUCCUGGUACAGUAAUCAAGGCCUAAAGAGUGUCAGUUCUAGCUAACUGGGGACUUCUCUCCAAAGCCUCAGUCAAGCCCAGAUACCAUGGGUUGGCACCCCUCCCUGACUCGUUUUCUCACAAGUAGUUGAGUACCUACUGUGUGCCAGUCACCGCAGGUAUUCAUCUUAGGUUCUUCAUUUGCCCUCCUAAGGGAACGUUCGGAGUCAGACAGGCCAAGACCAAGUGCGCUGCACCCCACCUAGGUAUUAACCGAACCACCUCUGACUCUACAGGAAUGGGCCGCAAGCUCCUCCACCCUGCAGAGAGCAAGCUGCAUGCCCAUCCUGCAGACUGCAGUUUCUGUGCUGCCCCAGGAGGCACGCUUGGCUACAGGACAGAAAGGGAGAGUUGCACUGGAAAGGUUGUCAGAGGAGGCACAGUAGCCACUGCCUUCAAAAUAUCUUCCUGGGAGCUAGUGCCCUCCUGGUCCUGGUUGUGCCCACCACCCUUUCUGAAUAGGCUAGCAAAGAGAAGGGCCAAUGUGGCAUGCCUCGUUGGAAGGAACAUCCUCUCGUCCUCCCCAGGCGGUUUCUGCAGUUUUCCUAGGCGUGGUCUAAGCCUCUGAUAACCAAACCCCUUGCCCCACAAAUGUGCACAUUAGUGAGCCUCUGCUCCUAACUACUUCCCCGCAAUUCCUUCAGACAUUGCUGUACUCUUCUCUAAUGUGCCCUCCGGUGUAAUCUCCCAAUGCCUCCCCAAAUAAUGCUCCUUUAAGUAGGAAACCUAACAUGCUUCACCCAGAGAGCUUCUACCGCAAGACCUGCAGGGUUUCUGCUGCAGAGAAUCUAUGAUGGGAGGGUUUUUAAUUACGUAAACGCUUGUUCCAGAAAGCUUUAAUGUGUGGGAGUGUUGAGUUGCUGGGCCUGUGCACAGUGAUGUAUUUGCCUGUGUCCACCAGGUCUCAUUACAGAAUGGGUUUUUAUGUGGGGCUUUAAUGGCCUUCUGUACCCCUUGUGUAAUUUUAAGUUCACUUUUGUGUUCACCAAAUGAAGUAUCAGAGUGAGGGUCAGCCUGAGCUGCUUCCCUCCUCCUAAAUCUAGGACCCAUUUAUGCCCAGCAUUACUUAUGCAAGGAACCUAAAGAUUUCUGCUCUUUGAAGAUAAUUUAAUUCUCAGCAUCUCCCCUAUUUGAGCCCUUCUAAUUGCAUCUUAUGGUUAAAAUGAAGGAGGAAACAUGAUUUUAAAAUGUUUGCUGAAUGAAUACACUGAGAAGGCCCCUGGGUUCAUGUAGGCCACCACCAUCAUAAUCAGGUGCAAGCUCCUGCAAUUCUUAAGGGAACUAUACCUGCCCAACACUUUGGAUGGAUUUAGGAACGUAACAGGAAAAUUGUCUAAUAUUCUUUCCCCUGCCAGAGACAGCCCAGAUCUGUUUCAAUGGGGGGGGAAAAUCGGCCUCUUAACAGAAGUAAAGGUAAACACUAAGUUGCUUCUGUAACCAAGGAGGGUGGGGGCUUUUGUGAAUGCACAAGAAGCUUUAGCCAGAGAAAUUAAAACUGGGGGAGGGAGAGGUCCUCAUCAGGCAUUUGUCAGUACACGUCCAUAUAUUCAUUUUCACACAUUCAUACCCAUUGCUGGUAUUUAUAGCAAGGCACUUGACCACACAGAAGUCUACCCAUCUAUACAGUCUCCAGAGGGAAAUUUUCUUUCCCACUAUUGAACUUACAUAAUAUCUGUCCUCCAUUCCAACCUUAGAUGCAAUCCUCUGGGGGCAGCUGCAAAGCUUCUCCCUGGGACAGAUGGAGCACCCGCCCCCCUUCCUCUUCUACUCUGUGGGUGGUUUAGAACCCCAUGAGUCAACAUGGGCUGACUGAGGAGUGCUGGUGUGUGUGUGAGGUGUGGCCGCUGAUUCACACAGACAAGUAUGUCAAUAACGUUACCUAAUAAAGAUUUUUUUUUCCUUCUAA